rnacentral:rRNA from 1 species
GGCUAAAACAGUCAGGAGGUUGGCUUAGAAGCAGCCACCCUUUAAAGAAAGCGUAAUAGCUCACUGAUCGAGUCGUCCUGCGCGGAAGAUGUAACGGGGCUAAGCCAGUCACCGAAGCUGCGGACGCACAGCAAUGUGCGUGGUAGGAGAGCGUUCUGUAAGCCUGUGAAGGUGUCUUGUAAAGGAUGCUGGAGGUAUCAGAAGUGCGAAUGCUGACAUGAGUAGCGAUAAAGGGGGUGAAAGGCCCCCUCGCCGUAAGCCCAA